UCACCUCUCAAAUAAACCCCUUGCCUUUGGAUCCUCUUCUGGGAGUCUUUUUCUGAUGGAAACCAAAAUAGGGAGCAAACCCGCCUGAGAAUGAAGCCAACACAAAAAGUUAAAAAUCCGAGGGACAGAGUUUCUUAAUAAUAUCACAGGUGCAUCUGGAUCCGGACAAGCCUGAAGCCACAAACUCCUGGACUUUUCGGGCUGGGUGAAGGAGGGAGCGGAACUGGAGCUAUCCCAGCAUCAGGUGCAAAAGAAAUGCAGGAAGGAUUCCUGCUGGGGAGGAAGAAGGCGCUCAGUUUCCACACCCAGGAGCCUCCGGCAACAAUCAUCCAUCGGACCCCGGCGCUGAGCUGGGCGCUGGGUGAGAGGAGGAACAAGAGGCGGCCGCUCUCCUCAGAAGUCGGACCUCAUGGGGAGAACGAGCCCCAUACACGCCCGACCCUACAGCUGGGAAGACAGCGGUCGGUGUCCUGGCACAGGAACCAAACGGUGUCCGAGCUAGAUGAGGACCCAUGCCCUUACCAGCUGGACCACGUUAGGACUGGAGCGCUGGGGACCAAAGGACGUAGCACAUCAGAGCGGUUAAAACACAGAGCGGAGCCAGACUGCCAAGGUCCAUUCCAUCUUACCAACUAGGAUCCUAACGGGGAAGGCCUGCCUCUGUGGCCCGCCUAUGGUCAGACCGAGGAAUGCGUGCAGCUGAAUUUGAACUUGAGCGCGGGACAGAGACAGAAAGAGCUAGAGCUGGAGUUCUGGACGGGCACCCUCCCCCUGAUCAGGACGCAGAAGGUGAUCAGCAUGCAAGAAACUAGCCGAGCUCAGUCCCAACCCUGUCCUGCCCACCCACCCACUAUGG